rnacentral:rRNA from 1 species
UACGUAGGGGGCAAGCGUUGUCCGGAUUUAUUGGGCGUAAAGGGCUCGUAGGCGGCCAACUAAGUCGGAUGUGAAAUCCCCAGGCUUAACCUGGGAACUGCAUCCGAUACUGGAUGGCUUGAAUCCGGGAGAGGGAUGCGGAAUUCCAGGUGUAGCGGUGAAAUGCGUAGAUAUCUGGAGGAGCACCGGUGGCGAAGGCGGCAUCCUGGACCGGCAUUGACGCUGAGGAGCGAAAGCCAGGGGAGCAAACGGG